UACGUAGGCAGCAAGCGUUGUUCGGAGUUACUGGGCGUAAAGGGUGCGUAGGCGGUUGUUUAAGUUUGGUGUGAAAUCUCCCGGCUCAACCGGGAGGGUGCGCCGAAUACUGAACGGCUAGAGUGCGGGAGAGGGUCGUGGAAUUCCCAGUGUAGAGGUGAAAUUCGUAGAUAUUGGGAAGAACACCGGUGGCGAAGGCGGCGACCUGGUCCUUGACUGACGCUGAGGCGCGAAAGCGUGGGGAGCAAACAGG
rnacentral:rRNA from 1 species